rnacentral:lncRNA from 1 species
CGGAUUUGUUUGUUUAUCUUCUGUGUGGUAUUUUUAGCCAGGGAACAAUAAGUACCAUACAUGGAAACCAAAUAAACAAUACCUGUGGUCAACUAGUCUUGAACUUUGAAAACAAAUUGAAAUAAUGUUCUAUUGACUUCCAGAUAGCGUAUCAUGGUCCAUCAUAAGAAACAGUAUUCAUGUAAAAAUUUGUAGUUGUAUGUAUAACCGCCAAUAAAACAAGUAUGAAUUAAAAACCAUAAAGAACACAUAUGUAAACAAUCGCAGCUUCAACAAUGAGUAAUACGCAACUAUGUAGCAACUUUUGAAAAGCCCAGAAAAUAUUCGAUGUGAAACAUUAGAAAAUAUAUAAAAAAAAAAAAACAAAAAAAAAAAAAAAAAACAAUUGAUAAUGCCUGAUUUAUUCUACAUUGAUAAACGAACAAUUGUGACAGAAAACCACAAUCAAAGCAAUAACUGGACUACAGGUUUCUUUCUGGCUUUGAACAGUUACAAUAAAAAGGUUAACCACAUUAGUGCGUGCUCUGUUCCCUCUUAUAACAUGUAUACACAUGUGGGACAGUGGUGUAACAAUAAAAAGACAUACAUAUCAUUUAUUCGGGCGUACUACAUUUGCGCGCAUUUGGGGAUUAAAAUGUGUUACGUUUGUGCGCAGCUUUUGAUUACAUUUGCGCGCAUUCAUUUUACAG